GCGUAAUUAGCUGCCUACUUUUCAAAAUUAUGUGAUGACUUCAUGGGAAAAGAGAUUCACAAGAACCAGUAACAGGAAAGCUUAAAUAAGCUUGGAAAUCUUUAAACUUUCAAUAUCGGUAAGCAAUGAUCAUUUUUAAUCACCCAAAUUCAUAAGAUUUGAUCAAAGGAAAAAUGUAGUGUUUUGGUGAUAUGCAGGAAGUAUGAAAUGCAUGCUACUAAUGAUUGAACAGUACAUCUUUGGUAUGGC
rnacentral:lncRNA from 1 species